UACGUAGGCAGCGAGCGUUGUUCGGAGUUACUGGGCGUAAAGGGUGUGUAGGCGGUUGUUUAAGUUUGGUGUGAAAUCUCCCGGCUCAACUGGGAGGGUGCGCCGAAUACUGAAUGACUUGGAGUGCGGGAGAGGAGAGUGGAAUUCCUGGUGUAGCGGUGAAAUGCGUAGAUAUCAGGAGGAACACCGGUGGUGUAGACGGCUCUCUGGACCGUAACUGACGCUGAGACACGAAAGCUAGGGGAGCAAACAGG
rnacentral:rRNA from 1 species